rnacentral:rRNA from 1 species
AUUGAACGCUGGCGGCAGGCCUAACACAUGCAAGUCGAACGAGUGGCGGACGGGUGAGUAAUGUCUGGGAAACUGCCCGAUGGAGGGGGAUAACUACUGGAAACGGUAGCUAAUACCGCAUACCAUCGGAUGUGCCCAGAUGGGAUUAGCUAGUAGGUGGGGUAACGGCUCACCUAGGCGACGAUCCCUAGCUGGUCUGAGAGGAUGACCAGCGACACUGGACCUGCGACAGGGUCCAGACUCCUACGUGGGGCAGCAGUGGGGAAUAUUGCACAAUGGGCGCAAGCCUGAUGCAGCCAUGCCGCGUGUAUGAAGAAGGCCUUCGGGUUGGAAACCGCUUUCAGCUAUGACGCGGUAGUGGCAGAAGAAGCACCGGCUAACUACGUGCCAGCAGCCGCGGUAAUAC